rnacentral:rRNA from 1 species
AGAGUUUGAUCAUGGCUCAGAACGAACGCUGGCGGCGCGCCUAAUACAUGCAAGUCGAACGAGAAUGUGUAGCAAUACACAUGUACAGUGGCGAACGGGUGAGGAAUACAUGGGUAACCUACCCUCGAGUGGGGAAUAACUAGCCGAAAGGUUAGCUAAUACCGCGUACGCUUCCCGGACUGCGGUUCGGGAAGGAAAGCGAUACCGUGGGUAUCGCGCUCUUGGAUGGGCUCAUGCCCUAUCAGCUUGUUGGUGAGGUAACGGCUCACCAAGGCUUCGACGGGUAGCUGAUCUGAGAGGAUGAUCAGCCACACUGGCACUGCGACACGGGCCAGACUCCUACGGGAGGCAGCAGUAAGGAAUAUUGCGCAAUGGGCGAAAGCCUGACGCAGCGACGCCGCGUGGGGGAUGAAGGUCUUCGGAUUGUAAACCCCUUUCGGGAGGGAAGAUGGGAUGGGGUAACCCAUUCGGACGGUACCUCCAGAAGCAGCCACGGCUAACUUCGUGCCAGCAGCCGCGGUAAUAC